GUCCCUGAAUGUACCUGAAGGAUGACCGUUGGCACCGGAAGUGAUAACUUUCCGCCAUUUUUAAUUCUUAUUUUAAUGGUUACCUUCAUGUGUGCUAAUUGGAACCCACCUGUCAACCUGUUGAAGUUAUUUUAAAGAGUGUAACUUUAACUAUUUUACAUAAAUGUCCUGUCAAUGUGAAGCUAAUGUAGGGUGAGCUAACGGCUCCUUUACGUUAAUUAACAAGCUAGCUUGUGUAACAUGGAGGACGUUCAUAAGCUUGCUAGCUUGUUUUAUGGUUUAACAUUACCUGGUUAGACAGCCAAAGCCUCCCUUCGAACAGCAUUACUCCUGAGAUGCCACGGGGUCAGAGCGAGUUGAAUCUUAUGUCAGGCCUGUCCCCACGUUGACCUGCGCCUGACUGGCCUCCCAGCAAAAAGCCCCUGUGAAGGCGCUCUGUUUCACAGGCUGACCGUCAGACUGAUGGAGGUGGAGGAGGAGGAGGUGGAGGUGGUGAUGUGAGGGGGAUCGAUAGGCGGCUGCUUUGAUCUCUCAUCUUCACGUUCAGCUCGAUCGCUCUGAUUGGCUCUGAGAGACCCCUCCACGAUCAGCGCAAAGAACUCCGGGAGGAAAAGCUCAUCCAUCAUCCUGAGGGCCGGUCUGAGGCGCCCUCUGCUGGAGGAGCAGCUGUACUACAGAGGUGCGAGCUCGUCCUGAUUGUCGACGCCUGAGGUUCACGAGGACGUGCAGAGGGAAGGAGGGUUCACACGCGCUUCUAAUCAGAUCAUCAUCAUCAUCCUCUGCUACACCUUCAUCACCAGAGAUCAAUGGAAACUAACAUCCCGUUAAAAAUGAAAUAAACAGCUUUUAAGGCCUCUCUACCUCCACGUCUCCUCACACACCCUGGAGGUCUAGCAGCAGCUUAAAUCCAGACCUCCUCCUGCUCCUCCUGCUCCUCCUGCUACUCCUCACUGGCCUUUCCAGAGCUGGGGGUUUCUGCGGGAGGAGGUUCGUAGGAUGUGAGAGAAGCCAGGCCUUCGGACCAUGGGGGCGCGGCUGGAGAUGACUGCUAGGUCCUGCAGGGCGGCGGGGUCGUGGGACGUGAGGGCGCUGCAGCGAAGGCCUCCUUUAGGGACGUGGUUUACGAGCGGGGCGCCGGGACGGGAGAAGGCAUUGGCAUGGGAGCUGCUCCUGCUGUCCUGCCGCACGGCCAGAGAGCUGCCGGCUGCCAAGGAGGGGACAGAGAGGGAGAGUGAGACGUCUGGGAGAAGACCAACUGGACCCAAAACAAUCAGGCUGAGAGGUUCAAUUAAAGCUAAUGUUAUUUUUAAAUGUUUA